UACGAACUGUGCAAACGUUAUUCGGAAUCACUGGGCUUAAAGGGUGCGUAGGCGGACUUGUAGGUCAGAUGUGAAAUCCCACGGCUCAACCGUGGAAUUGCGUUUGAAACCACUCGUCUUGAGGGGAUCAGAGGAGAGCGGAACUGAUGGUGGAGCGGUGAAAUGCGUUGAUAUUAUCAGGAACACCGGUGGCGAAAGCGGCUCUCUGGGAUCUUUCUGACGCUGAGGCACGAAAGCUAGGGGAGCGAAC
rnacentral:rRNA from 1 species